CCACGUUCAUUCUUUUGAAAGUCAGCUCUUCCUAAUUAGGAUGCUUCAGUAUAGAUCUAGCAACAAAGAGGGCAUGUAGCAAGUGUUAUGAGAACAGCAAGGACUAUAGCAACCAAGCAAGAUAUUCAGCUACGGUCCCAAGUACUCAGUGAAGACUUCUAAGACAAACCUGUUAUGACUUUAAAAGUGCCUGGGGCUCAAAAAUGUGACCUACGUCAGACUGAUCUUCUUGCACUACUGCAGAAUGUGUCUUCACACAGGAGCUGUUUCCAACACAGAGAGCCUAAGUUACCACUCUGCCUGCACGCCUGACUAAGGGAGUUUGCAGAAUACUCAGCCAUGAAAGGCCACAAAUAUACAAACUACCAACUUUACCCGCUUCUAGAAGCGCAUAAAAAAUAUGCUUUUCUCCCAAAGUAGUCUAUGAAGACUUAAAGCAACAUCCCUGAUCACAAGGCAGCACUAUUGAUAAGACUCACUUGUUUUUGCUUUGAUUUCUUCUCCUGCUAAGGCCUCCUGCCAUGUACACAACUCAGAACAGCAACAAUAUGCACUAACCAAAACAUGGCUGGUUUUCAGUCUGCUGGAGCUUGACAUCAGCAGAAGCAGUACUGGCAUAGCCCAAUUUAAGACUCUGAGUCAGCAAAUACUGGUUGCACAGGAAGCUUUCUAUUCAUGACAAAUAGCAAGCUUGCAAAAAGCACAGCCCUGGCUAGUAUUUCAAGAGAUCUCCCUCCAGCAGUGAAAACUAGAUUCCUGUAGGAAAGGAUGAUACUUACUUAGGAAGAGUUCUGAUGUGUCCCAGCACGCACACAUUCUGAUGUGAAGAUCGUAAAGGAGUAGAGGACAAAAUGCAGCAAACCACACAAACAGACAGAACCUGUCUAGAAACCCACACAACACACAGCAGUGACAGGAGUUGCUUCAAGACGAAAGCUGCAGUACUAGAAGCAUAAGUGAUAUUAUCUAGAAGUAAUUAAUUUAAUCUUCAGUUAAAGGGUUCUAGAAGUUAGAACCUGCUUCUACGGCAGUCUCAUGGUGCUUCAUGUGAAAGCACCACCUAUAUAAAAAUCAAGUUACUGUCUGCUCAGUAGCAACAUGGAUGCAAUAACAUAAUACCUGUUCAAUAUCGCUGCCAAAGCAAUAGCUAUUUAAACUAAUCUCAUUCUUGGGCAUCUCCUGGUUGUUUCCUGCACAUAGCUUAGUCCUGUUGCAUCAAAGACUUUCUUUCAGCCCAGGAGUCUGAAUAAGCUCUGAAAAAGCACAGGAUCUCACCGGAUCAGCAGGCAAGCACAGUUCCAAGAAAAAGAAAAAAAAAUAAAA